ACCCGCGCCCCGCCGUUCCGCCCCUGGGCACGACGCUGCGGCUAACCCUAGCUGUGGGCUCGGUCGCCGCCGCGGUUCCCGCGCCGCCGCGCCUCCUGGUGGUCCCCUUUGUCGCCCCGAAGCCACGCCGCCCCCGCGGACCGGGCGGAAGCCUCUCCCAAAGCCUUAUAGGUUAAAGAACCUAAGCGCACUGUGGUACUGUGUGUUCAAACUGAUUUCAGGGGAUGAUACACCUUAAAUCAGAACUGAAUGAUGGAUUGGUUCUGGUCCUCUUCAAGGUGCUGGAGGGCGGAAACAUAUGAAUGGAGAUGAAACCUGAAGCGUAUAUCUUGCUGAAGAAUUUCUACCUUAGGCGAGUCAAACUCAUUUAACUCGAUCUGUUAGGGAAGUCUUUGCACUGCAAGUAGCUUAUUUAGAGUACUCUAGAUGUUUUCGGGUUCGUUCAGGUAAUAAUAUUUUUGUCAAGAGAGUGGUAUCUGCCUAAAUGUUAUUUUUCCUUGAGGUCUUUCUUGUCUAGAUGUUUUCCUGAAAGAGUUUCUGAAUCUUUCUUGUUCUGUAGCAUGACCUAUCAAUGAUAAAUAUCCAUUCAUGAAAUAAAUAAAAAAUCCUUUGUGCCCCUGGCAGUCUUUACCACCCUGCCCUGGUAUCAUCAGGUGGCCCUAACAACUGUGAUCUUGUUGCGGUGAUAAAUGAGUGAGGUUCAUUACCAUCAUUAUAACUUUAUGAUAUAGGUGACGCCUUCCUGAGACUUAGUCUUAACUCUUAAAUAAUGGACAUAUGACUUGUUUCUCUAUCAAAUUGGGAAUCUAAAAACUGCUUAGCAAUACUACUAGUAAACCCCAUAAUAUCUAGAAAAAAAGAGGCAUGCCAACUAGCAUAUGAAGCAUUCUUUAUUCUACUUCCAUGAAUUUGGUGCCUCUAGCAUAUGAGUACUGUGUGCUAAUUUAAAAGUUAAGUGCGUGGCACAAUCAUAUCAAAAGGCUGUAAUAUGUGAUGUUGUUGGCUAAAAUAGUUAAGGAUAUUUUUUUUUAGUUUUAAGAAAGUCUGGAAGCCCCAUGCAGUUCCGUAAAGAGAAGUUCAUUAAAACUGAUUUCAUUUUUUUCCCAGGGAUUACCUGCUUAGCUUACGUGUAGUGGGGCUCAAAAGUGUAAUGUGUUCGUCUACUGACAUUACAUCAUAAUGCCUUCCCUGUAAGUUGUUGUUGGAGUAGUUUUGAACUUUUGAUUCAUAUGCAGUCAAUUUCAUAUUUACACACCAAUGCUUUGGCCACUCAGGUUCACACCAAUGUUGGCCGGAUAUGUGUAAGGCUGGGAUGGGUGCCCAUUCAACCUCUUACUGAAUCUCUACAAUUACAACAAUAUGUGCUUCUAAAAUGAAGACUUGAACCGAACUAUGUUGAAUUUUGGUUUAACUAAUGUACAGUUUGCCACUGGAUGAUAGAGCAACAUUUUUGGAAUUUCUAAGUAGGAUUUUUUGAAAAGAAACUAGCCAACUAUACUUUUGCUUCACAAUAUAUUUUGUCAUAAAUUUCCCCUAUGCUUGCUGCAAGAUUCAGUAUGCAUGUACAAUCAUCUGGAAGCUUAAAACUGAUACUUAAAGGUCACUUUGUCUAAGAUGCAGAGAGGGCUAAGGAGUUGGAUAAGAUGGGCCGGUCUAUUUGUAUUCCAGUAAAGGCUGAACCAACAUGAACACAUUCAGAGUUUGCUCCCCAGGAAAAAAGGACAUCAAGGACCUGGGUCUGUUUUCACGAUGGAGCAGAUCUCGAGUAUCCCAGCAGUCUGUCUCCUUCGUCGAGACAAUGAAUUUAAAGUUCUUAAGAUUUGGCUAAAAGGUUUUUAGACGGUAAACUGUAGUGUUUUAUACCUUCAUCAUCAUUUUCACCCUCUGUGAUUAGUUAUGCAAAACCUGACAGUCUCUGGUUGUUAUGUUGAUAGUGUGCUUUUCGGCUCGCAGUUGCAUAGUAAAAAGGAAUGUCUGUGUACCAUUCUCUAUUAGUGCUUACUUCCUUAGCUUAGAUAGUGGUGAACAAGUAAAAGGGCUCAAGCAAUAUUUUUUCCUAUGUCUUUUCAUUCACGCAACAAACAUGUACCAUGCACUGACAAAAUGACUCAAGUAUAAUUCGAAUUUUGUAAACUAGAAUGUAUAGAUAAAUACUUAAUUUAUUUAGGAGGUCCUCAAUACACAUCUGAACAUGACCAGACUAUUCUGCCUUUUACAAGUCACAGUGCAACUCACGAAACCAAGAAAAUUAAGUAUAGACUGCUAUCAAUAGGCAUCC